CUUUGGGAAAAGAGAUAAGCUUUAUUCUGUGAGAUGGAUCUGCAGGGAGAACAGGGGGCAUGUGCCCUCAGAUCUGUCUCCCUGAUUCAGGGUUUGGGGCAAAAUAUAAGAGGUUGGGGAGAACAGGCUGGCACGCAGAAAUGUUGGUGGGACAGGUUUUGAUUGGUGGACUUCAAGCAUUUGUGGUAAGGUUCUAAACAGUUAUGACAGGGUUCUAAACAUUUUUGAUGAGGUGGGGAAAGAAUUCUAACACCAGAUCUUCCUGAAUGAGGGGCUCCCUCGCUUCUGAUAAGAGUUCAACCUUCAAGUUCGGGUCGUGUCCUGGUCCUUGGGUUCCAUGGGAAGGAGGAUCUUUGGUUCCACGGUCAUUUCAGGGGCAAGAUCACUUCACAGGCACGUAACGUGUGGCCGUGUCUCUCUGGUGAUGUGAGCAGCCGUGGCGAUCGUGGACUGGAUCCACUAAAUCAUUAGGAGCAUGCAGAGUGCGGAUGUUCCACCACUCACUCCGCGUUUACUAGCUGGAAUCCUCCUAGACAAAGAAACUCCUCAUGUUUAACUAUCUGAUUAUGCAAAGGAACAGUUCAUACAGGAAAGGCAGGACAUAUGCUUGAUUUCCUCCUUUUUGUUAACCAGUUUUAAAAAUAAAGGAGUGGGCUCUCCAGAAUCUGCCAAAGCGAU
rnacentral:lncRNA from 1 species